rnacentral:tRNA from 1 species
GAGGUUAUAGCUCAGUGGUAGAACAUGUGCUUAGCAUGCAUGAUGUCCUGGGUUUAAUCCCCAGUACUUCCA